rnacentral:tRNA from 1 species
CGGGGUAUAGCGCAGUUGGCUAGCGCGCCUGCUUUGGGAGCAGGAGGUCCUGGGUUCAAAUCCCAGUACCCCGACCU